AUUGAACGCUGGCGGCAUGCCUAACACAUGCAAGUCGAACGAGUGGCGGACGUGUGUGUCAUGUGUGGGACACUGCCUGAUGGAGGGGGAUAACUACUGGAAAAGGUACCUAAUACCGCAUACCAUAGGCUUUUCACAGAUGGGAUUAGCGAGUAGGUGGGUUAAAGGCUCACGUAGGCGACGAUCCCUAGUCGGUCUGAGAGGGUGACCAGCCACACCUGAACUGAUACACGGUCCAGACGCCUACGGGAGGCAGCAGGGGGGAAUAUUGCAAACAGGGGGCAAGCCUGAUGCAGCCAUGCCGCUUGUAUGAAGAAGGCCGUCGGGUUGUAAAGCACUGUUAGCGGGGAGGCGUUACCCGUAGAAUAAGCAACGGCUAACUCCGUGCCAGCAGCCGCGGUAAUAC
rnacentral:rRNA from 1 species